UUGCCAGACUCCUACGGGAGGCAGCAGUGGGGAAUAUUGCGCAAUGGGGGCAACCCUGACGCAGCAACGCCGCGUGAUUGAAGAAGGCCUUCGGGUUGUAAAGAUCUUUAAUCAGGGACGAAAAAUGACGGUACCUGAAGAAUAAGCUCCGGCUAACUACGUGCCAGCAGCCGCGGUAAUACGUAGGUGGCGAGCGUUAUCCGGAUUUACUGGGUGUAAAGGGCGUGUAGGCGGGAGUGCAAGUCAGAUGUGAAAACUAUGGGCUCAACCCAUAGCCUGCAUUUGAAACUGUACUUCUUGAGUGCUGGAGAGGCAAUCGGAAUUCCGUGUGUAGCGGUGAAAUGCGUAGAUAUACGGAGGAACACCAGUGGCGAAGGCGGAUUGCGGGACAGUAACUGACGCUGAGGCGCGAAAGCGUGGGGAGCAAACAGGAUUAGAUACCCUUGUAU
rnacentral:rRNA from 1 species